rnacentral:rRNA from 1 species
UACGUAGGGGGCUAGCGUUGUCCGGAUUUAUUGGGCGUAAAGAGCGUGUAGGCGGCCAGGUAGGUCCGUUGUGAAAACUCGAGGCUCAACCUCGAGACGCCGGCGGAAACCCUUUGGCUAGAGUCCGGAAGAGGAGAGUGGAAUUCCUGGUGUAGCGGUGAAAUGCGCAGAUAUCAGGAAGAACACCCGUGGCGAAGGCGGCUCUCUGGGACGGUACUGACGCUGAGACGCGAAAAGCGUGGGGAGCAAACAGG